UACGGGGGGGGCAAGCGUUGUUCGGAAUUACUGGGCGUAAAGGGCUCGUAGGCGGCCAACUAAGUCAGACGUGAAAUCCCUCGGCUUAACCGGGGAACUGCAUCUGAUACUGGAUGGCUUGAGUUCGGGAGAGGGAUGUGGAAUUCCAGGUGUAGCGGUGAAAUGCGUAGAUAUCUGGAGGAACACCGGUGGCGAAGGCGGCAUCCUGGACCGACACUGACGCUGAGGAGCGAAAGCCAGGUGAGCAAACGGG
rnacentral:rRNA from 1 species